UACGUAGGGUCCGAGCGUUGUCCGGAAUUAUUGGGCGUAAAGGGCUCGUAGGCGGUUUGUCGCGUCGGGAGUGAAAACACGGGGCUUAACCCCGUGCCUGCUUCCGAUACGGGCAGACUAGAGGUAUGCAGGGGAGAACGGAAUUCCUGGUGUAGCGGUGAAAUGCGCAGAUAUCAGGAGGAACACCGGUGGCGAAGGCGGGUCUCUGGGCCACUACUGACGCUGAGAAGCGAAAGCAUGGGGGAGCGAACAGG
rnacentral:rRNA from 1 species